rnacentral:lncRNA from 1 species
UCAAAGCUACUAUAUGUCUUCUUCUCCUUCAAGAUUUUCAAAAUCUUGAAUUCCUCGGUUAUCUUCAUAUUGCUCGUCAUCUUCUUCUUCCCCUUCCUCUUCAUAAUCAUUCUCAUCUUCAUCAAUGGAUAGACUUAGUAACCACACUUUUCCCUUCCUAAUUGAACUUGAACUUGGAGUACAACUCCUUAAACUAUAAGGAUCCUCCC